rnacentral:rRNA from 1 species
CGGUUAAGUUAGAAAGGGCGCACGGUGGAUGCCUUGGCACUAGGAGCCGAUGAAGGACGGGACGAACACCGAUAUGCUUCGGGGAGCUGUAAGCAAGCUUUGAUCCGGAGAUUUCCGAAUGGGGAAACCCACCACUCGUAAUGGAGUGGUAUCCAUAUCUGAAUACAUAGGAUAUGAGAAGGCAGACCCGGGGAACUGAAACAUCUAAGUACCCGGAGGAAGAGAAAGCAAAUGCGAUUCCCUGAGUAGCGGCGAGCGAAACGGGACCAGCCCAAACCAAGAGGCUUGCCUCUUGGGGUUGUAGGACACUCUGUACGGAGUUACAAAGGAACGAGGUAGAUGAAGAGGUCUGGAAAGGCCCGCCAUAGGAGGUAACAGCCCUGUAGUCAAAACUUCGUUCUCUCCUGAGUGGAUCCUGAGUACGGCGGAACACGUGAAAUUCCGUCGGAAUCCGGGAGGACCAUCUCCCAAGGCUAAAUACUCCCUAGUGACCGAUAGUGAACCAGUACCGUGAGGGAAAGGUGAAAAGCACCCCGGAAGGGGAGUGAAAGAGAUCCUGAAACCGUGUGCCUACAAGUAGUCAGAGCCCGUUAACGGGUGAUGGCGUGCCUUUUGUAGAAUGAACCGGCGAGUUACGAUCCCGUGCAAGGUUAAGCAGAAGAUGCGGAGCCGCAGCGAAAGCGAGUCUGAAUAGGGCGAAUUGAGUACGUGGUCGUAGACCCGAAACCAGGUGAUCUAUCCCCCAUGUCCAUGUCCAGGGUGAAGUUCAGGUAACACUGAAUGGAGGCCCGAACCCACGCACGUUGAAAAGUGCGGGGAUGAGGUGUGGGUAGGGGUGAAAUGCCAAUCGAACCUGGAGAUAGCUGGUUCUCUCCGAAAUAGCUUUAGGGCUAGCCUCAAGGUAAGAGUCUCGGAGGUAGAGCACUGAUUGGACUAGGGGCCCCUACCGGGUUACCGAAUUCAGUCAAACUCCGAAUGCCGAUGACUUAUCCUUGGGAGUCAGACUGCGAGUGAUAAGAUCCGUAGUCGAAAGGGAAACAGCCCAGACCGCCAGCUAAGGUCCCAAAGUAUACGUUAAGUGGAAAAGGAUGUGGAGUUGCUUAGACAACCAGGAUGUUGGCUUAGAAGCAGCCACCAUUUAAAGAGUGCGUAAUAGCUCACUGGUCGAGUGACUCUGCGCCGAAAAUGUACCGGGGCUAAACGUAUCACCGAAGCUGCGGACUGUUCUUCGAACAGUGGUAGGAGAGCGUUCUAAGGGCUGUGAAGCAAGACCGGAAGGACUUGUGGAGCGCUUAGAAGUGAGAAUGCCGGUAUGAGUAGCGAAAGAGGGGUGAGAAUCCCCUCCACCGAAUGCCUAAGGUUUCCUGAGGAAGGCUCGUCCGCUCAGGGUUAGUCGGGACCUAAGCCGAGGCCGAAAGGCGUAGGCGAUGGACAACAGGUUGAUAUUCCUGUACCACCUCCUCACCAUUUGAGCAAUGGGGGGACGCAGGAGGAUAGGGUAAGCGCGGUAUUGGAUAUCCGCGUCCAAGCAGUUAGGCUGGGAAAUAGGCAAAUCCGUUUCCCGUGAAGGCUGAGCUGUGAUGGCGAGCGAAUUAUAGUAGCGAAGUUCCUGAUUCCACACUGCCAAGAAAAGCCUCUAGCGAGGUGAGAGGUGCCCGUACCGCAAACCGACACAGGUAGGCGAGGAGAGAAUCCUAAGGUGAUCGAGAGAACUCUCGUUAAGGAACUCGGCAAAAUGACCCCGUAACUUCGGGAGAAGGGGUGCUCUGUUAGGGUGCAAGCCCGAGAGAGCCGCAGUGAAUAGGCCCAGGCGACUGUUUAGCAAAAACACAGGUCUCUGCGAAGCCGUAAGGCGAAGUAUAGGGGCUGACGCCUGCCCGGUGCUGGAAGGUUAAGAGGAGCGCUUAGCGUAAGCGAAGGUGCGAAUUGAAGCCCCAGUAAACGGCGGCCGUAACUAUAACGGUCCUAAGGUAGCGAAAUUCCUUGUCGGGUAAGUUCCGACCCGCACGAAAGGCGCAACGAUCUGGGCACUGUCUCAACGAGAGACUCGGUGAAAUUAUAGUACCUGUGAAGAUGCAGGUUACCCGCGACAGGACGGAAAGACCCCGUGGAGCUUUACUGCAGCCUGAUAUUGAAUGUUGGUACAGCUUGUACAGGAUAGGUAGGAGCCUUGGAAACCGGAGCGCCAGCUUCGGUGGAGGCAUCGGUGGGAUACUACCCUGGCUGUAUUGACCUUCUAACCCGCCGCCCUUAUCGGGCGGGGAGACAGUGUCAGGUGGGCAGUUUGACUGGGGCGGUCGCCUCCUAAAAGGUAACGGAGGCGCCCAAAGGUUCCCUCAGAAUGGUUGGAAAUCAUUCGCAGAGUGUAAAGGCACAAGGGAGCUUGACUGCGAGACCUACAAGUCGAGCAGGGACGAAAGUCGGGCUUAGUGAUCCGGUGGUUCCGCAUGGAAGGGCCAUCGCUCAACGGAUAAAAGCUACCCCGGGGAUAACAGGCUUAUCUCCCCCAAGAGUCCACAUCGACGGGGAGGUUUGGCACCUCGAUGUCGGCUCAUCGCAUCCUGGGGCUGUAGUCGGUCCCAAGGGUUGGGCUGUUCGCCCAUUAAAGCGGUACGCGAGCUGGGUUCAGAACGUCGUGAGACAGUUCGGUCCCUAUCCGUCGCGGGCGCAGGAAAUUUGAGAGGAGCUGUCCUUAGUACGAGAGGACCGGGAUGGACGCACCGCUGGUGUACCAGUUGUUCUGCCAAGGGCAUCGCUGGGUAGCUAUGUGCGGACGGGAUAAGUGCUGAAAGCAUCUAAGCAUGAAGCCCCCCUCAAGAUGAGAUUUCCCAUUCCGCAAGGAAGUAAGAUCCCUGAAAGAUGAUCAGGUUGAUAGGUCUGAGGUGGAAGUGUGGCGACACAUGGAGCUGACAGAUACUAAUCGAUCGAGGACUUAACCAAUUU